UUACACAGGUGCACCUUGUGCUGGGGGGGCAAUAAAAUACCACUUUUUUAUGUACAGUUUUGUCACACAACACAAUGCAACAGAUGUCUCAAGUUUCGAGGGAUAGUGCAAUUGGCAUGCUGACUGCAGGAAUGUCCAACAGAGCCAGUUAAUUAAAGUUAAUUUCUCCACAUAAAUUGCCUAUAAUGUUUUAGAUCAUAUGGCAGUACAUCCAACUGGCCUCACAACCACAGACCACGUGUAUGGCGUUGUGUGGCGGCAGUGGGGUUAUGGUAUGGGCAAGCACAAGAUACAGACAACGAACACAAUUGCAUUUUAUCAAUGACAAUUUGAAUGCAGAGAUACUGUGACGAUAUCCAGAGGCCCAUUGUUUCAGCAUGAUAAUGUACGGCCCCAUGUCGCAAGGAUUUGUACACAAUUCAUGGAAGAUGAAAAUGCCUCAAUUGGCAUACAUGGCAUACAUACUCACCAGACAUUUCACUCAUUGAGCAUGUUAGGGGUGCUCUUGAUCGGCGUGUAAGACAGCGUGUUCCAGUUCCUGCCAAUAUCCAACAACUUCGCACAGCCUUUGAGGAGGAGCAGGACAACAUUCCACAGACCACAAUCAACAGCCUGAUCAACUCUAUGCGAAGGAGAUGUGUCACACUGCAUGAGGCAAAUGGUAGCCACACCAGAUACUCACUGGUCCACACUUUCUGAUCCACACCCCUACUUUUUUUGUUGUGGUAUUUUAACCCCUUUUUCUCCCCAAUUUCGAUCGUGUUUCAUCGCUGCAACUCCCCAACAGGCUAGGGAGAGGUGAAGGUCGAGUCAUGCGUCCUCCGAAACAUGACUCGCUCAAACCACACUUCUUAACACCCACCCGAUUAACUCGGAAGCCAACUCCAACCAUCAGCCUGCAGGUGCCUGGCCCCCACAAGGAGUUGCUAGAGUGCAAUGAGCCAAAUAAAGCCCCGGCCAAAUCCUCCCCUAACCCGGACCACGCUGGGCCAAUUGUGUGCCAUCCUAUGGGACUCCCGGUCGCGGCCGGUUGUGACGCAGCCUGGGAUCGAACUCGGGUCUGUAGUGAUGCCUCAAGCACUACGACGCAGUGUGCCACUCGGGACGCCACCCGUACCUUUUUUUGAGGUACCUGUGACCAACAGAUGCAUAUCUGUAUUCCCAGUCAUGUGAUAUCCAUAAAUUAGAGCCUAAUUUAUUUAUUUCAACUGACUGAUUUCCUUAUAUGAACUGUAACUCAGUACAAUCGUUGAAAUUGUUGCAUGCUGCAUUUAUAUUUUUGUUUAGUAUAGAAUGUCAUGUUUUGGUCAUGGAGCAAAAGCACACACACUAUAAAUACAAAAGUAUGUGGACACCCCUUCAAAUUAGUGGAUUCGGCUUUAUCAGCCACACCCGUUGAGCAGAGCCAUGCAAUCUCCAUAGACAAACAUUGGCAGUUGAAUGGCCCGUACUGAAGAGCUCAGUGACUUUCAACUUGGCACCGUCACAGGAUGGCAACUUUCCAACAUCUCAGUUCGUCAAAUUUCUGCCCUACUAGAGCUGCCACGGUCAACUGUAAGUGCAGCUAUUGUGAAGUGGAAACAUUUAGGAGCAUAUAAAAGUAUUCAUCCCCCUUGGUGUUUUUCCUAUUCUGUUGCAUUACAACCUGUAAUUUAAAUGGAUUUUUAUUUAAUGCAAUGAACAUACACAAAAUAGUCCAAAUUGGUGAAGUGAAAUGAAAAAAAAAUUUAUUGUUUCAAAAAAUUAUAAAAUAUACAAAACGGAAAAGUGGUGCAUGAAUAUCUAUUCACCCCUUUGCUAUGAAGCCCCUAAAUAAGACCUUCAGAAGUCAUAAUUAGAUAAAUAAAGUCCACCUGUGUGCAAUCUAAGUGUCACAUGAUCUCUUUGAACAUCCCACGGAACACCAUUAAAUCCGUAAAAAAAUGAAAGAAUAUGGCACCACAACAAACCUGCCAAGAGAGGGCUGCCCACCGAAACUCACAGACAAGGCAAGGAGGGCAUUAAUCAGAGAGGCAACAAAGAGACCAAAGAUAAUCCUGAAGGAGCUGCAAAGCUCCACAGCGGAGAUUGGAGUAUCUGUCCAUAGGACCACUUUAAGCCAUACACUCCACAGAGCAGGGCAUUACAGAAGAAUGUCCAGAAAAAAGGCCAUUGCUUAAAUAAAAAAAUAAGCAACCAUGUUUGGUGUUCGCCAAAAGGCAUGUGGGAGACUUCCCAAACAUAUGGAAGAAGGUACUCUGAUGAGAUGAGAUGAAAAUGUUGCUUUUUGGCCAUCAAGCAAAACUCUAUGUCUGGCACAAACCCAACACCUCUCAUAACCCCGAGAUCACCAUCCAUGGUGGUGGCAGCAUCAUGCUGUGGGGAUGUUUUUCAUCGGCAGGGACUGGGAAACUAAUCAGAAUUUAAGGAAUGAUGGAUGGCGGUAAAUACAGGCAAAUUCUUGAGAGAAACCUGUUUCAGUCUUCCAGAGAUUUGAGACUGGGACAGAGGUUCACCUUCCAGCAGGACAAUGACCCUAAGCAUACUGCUAAAGCAACACUUGAGUGGUUUAAGGGGAAACAUUUAAAUGGCCUGGAAUGGCCUCAAUCCAAUUGAGAAUCUGUGUUAUGACUUAAAGAUUGCUGUACACCAGCGGAACCCAUUCAACUUGAAGGAGCUGGAGCAGUUUUGCCUUGAAAAAUGGGCAAAAAUCCCAGUGGCUAGAUGUGCCAAGCUCAUAGAGAUACCCCAAGAGACUUGCAGCUGUAUUUGCUGCAAAAGGUGGUUCUACCAAGUAUUGACUUGAGGGGGGGGGGGGGGUGAAUAGUUAUGCAUGCUCAAGUUGUCAAGUCCUCUUCUUGUUUGUUUCUGAUUAAAAAUAUUUUGCAUCUUCAAUGUGGCAGGCAUGUUGUGUAAAUCAAAUGAUAUAACCCCCCCCAAAUUCUAAUCUAUUUUAACUCCAGGUUGGAAGGCAAGACAAUAGGAAAAAUGCCAAGGGGGUGAAUACAUUCGCAAGCCACUGUAGUUAGUAUGUUACGGUUUUCUAGGUGUGAAGGAGAGUCGGACCAAAAUGCAGCGUGUAGAUUGCGAUCCAUAGACUGGGUUCGCACCCAGGCUCUGUCGUAACCGGCCACGACCGGGAGGUCUGUGGGGGACGCACAAUUGGCCUAGCGUCGUCCGGGUUAGGGAGGGCUUGGCCGGUAGGGAUGUCCUUGUCUCAUCGCGCACCAGCGACUAUAACAGUAUAUGGCCAAGAUGUUCAAAUGUUCAUAGAUGACUAGCAGGGUCAAAUAAUAAUCAUCACAGUGGUUGUAGAGGGUGCAACAAGUCAGCACCUCAGGAGUAAAUGUCAGUUGGCUUUUCAUAGCCGAUCAUUUAGAGUUAGAGACAGCAGGUGCGGUAGAGAGAGAGAGUGUCGAGAACCGCAGGUCCGGGACAAGGUAGCACGUCCAGUGAACAGGUCAGGGUUCCAUAGCCGCAGGCAAGCAAGGAGUCAUCAGGCCAGGUAGUCCUGAGGCAUGGUCCUAGGGCUCAGGUCCUCCGAGAGAAGAGGGGAGGAAAGAGAGAAAGAGAGAGAAUAACCGCAGGCAGAACAGUUGAAACUGGAGCAGCAGCACGACCAGGUGGACUGGGGACAGCAAGGAGUCAUCAGGCCAGGUAGUCCUGAGGCAUGGUCCUAGGGCUCAGGUCCUCAGAGAAAAGGGGAGGAAAGAGAGAAAGAGAGAGAAUACUUAAAUUCACACAGGACACCGGAUAAGACAGGAGAAAUACUCCAGAUAUAACAGACUGAUCCUAUCCCCCCGACACAUAAACUAUUGCAGCAUAAAUACUGGAGGCUGAGACAGGAGGGGUCGGGAGACUCUGUGGCCCCGUCUGACGAUACCCCCGGACAGGGCCAACAAGGCAGGAUAUAACCCCACCCACUUUGCCAAAGCACAGCCCCCACACCACUAGAAGGAUAUCUUCAAACCACCAACUUACUACCCUGAGACAAGGCCGAGUAUAGCCCAUGAAGGUCUCCCCCACAACACGAACCCAAGGGGGGCGCCAACACGUACAGGAAAAUCAGCGACUCAAGUGACGCACCCUUCCUAGGGACGGCAUGGAAGAGCACAAGUAAGCCAGUGACUCAGCCCCCGUAAUAGGGUUUGAGAAGAGAAUCCCAGUGGAGAGAGGGGAACGGGCCAGGCGGAGACAGCAAGGGCAAUUCGUCGCUCCAGUGCCUUUCUGUUCACCUUCACACCCUGGGCCAGAGUACACUCAAUCAUAGGACCUACUUGAAGAGAUGAAUCUUCAAUAAAGACUUAAAGGCCGAGACAGAGUCUGCGUCUCUCACAUGGAUAGGCAGACCAUUCCAUAAAAAUGGAACUCUAUAUGAGAAAGCGCUGCCUCCAGCUGUUUGCUUAGAAAUCCUAGGGACAAUAAAGAGGCCUGCGUCUUGUGACCGUAGCGUACGUGUAGGUAUGUACGGCAGGACCAAAUCGGAAAGAUGGGUAGGAGCAAGCCCAUGUAAUGCUUUGUAGGUUAGCAGCAAAACCUUGAAAUCAGCCCUAGCCUUAACAGGAUGCCAGUGUAGAGAGGCUAGCAUUGGAGUAAUAUGAUCACAUUUUUAGGUUCUAGUCAAGAUUCUAGCAGCCGUGUUUACCACUAACUGAAGUUUAUUUAGUAUCCGGAAAGUAGAGCAUUGCAGUAGUCUAAUCUAGAAGUGACAAAAGCAUGGAUAAAUCUGGACAGAAAGUUUCUGAUUUUGGCAAUGUUACGUAGAUGGAAAAAAGCUGUCCUUGAAACAGUCUUGAUAUGUUCGUCAAAAGAGAGAUCAGGGUCCAGAGUAACGCUGAGGUCCUUCACAGUUUUAUUUGAGACAACUGUACAACCAUCAAAAUUAAUUGUCAAAUCCAAUAGAAGAUCUCUUUUUUCCUGGGACCUAGAACAAGUAUCUCUGUUUUGCCCGAGUUUAAAAGUAAAACAUUUGCCACCAUCCACUUCCUUAUGUCUGAAACACAGGCUUCCAGGGAGGGCAAUUUUGGGGCUUCACCAUGUUUCAUCGAAAUGUGAAAGUUAACAUUAUGUUUCCGAAUGACAUCACCAAGAGGUAAAAUUUAUAGUGAAAACAAUAGUGGUCCUACAACGGAACCUUGAGGAACGCCAACAUUUACAGUAGAUUUGUCAGAGGACAACCCUUCCACAGAGACAAACUGAUAUCUUUCAGACAGAAAAACUCUAAACCAGGCCAGAACUUGUUCGUGUAGACCAAUUUGGGUUUCCAAUCUCUCCAAAAGAAUGUGGCGAUCGAUGGUAUCAAAAGCAGUACUAAGGUCUAGGAGCACGAGGACAGAUGCAGAUCCUUGGUCUGAUACCAUUAAAAGGUAAUUUACCACCUUCACAAGUGCAGUCUCAGUGCUAUGAUGGGGUUUAAAACCAGACUGAAGCAUUUCAUAUACAUUGUUUGUCUUCAGGAAUUCAGUGAGUUGCUGCACAACAGCUUUUUCUCAACUUUUUCAACAACCUUUUUCAAAAAUGUUUGAGAGGAAUGGGAGAUUUGAUAUAGGCCGAUCAUUUUUAAUAUUUUCUAGGUCAAGGUUUGGCUGUUUCAAGGCUUGAAAGGCUCAUUACUACCACUUUUAGAGAGUUUGGUACACAUCCGGUGGAUAGGGUGGCAUUUACUAUAUUCAACAUAGGAGGGCCAAGCUCAUGAAGCAGCUCUUUCAGCAGUUUAAUUGGAAUCGGUUCCAGUAAGCAGCUUGAAGGUUUAGAGGCCAUUAAUAUUUUCAUUAAUGUGUCAAUAGAUAUAGGAUGAAAAAAACUUGAGUGUCUACCUUGAUCCUAGGCCCUGGCAGUGUUGUGCAGACUCAAGACAACUGAGCUUUGGAGAAAUAUGCAGAUUUAAGAGGAGUCCGUCAUUUGCUUUCUAAUGAUCAUGAUAUUUUUGCCGAAGAAGUUCAUGAAUUUAUCACUGCUGAAGUGAAAGCCAUCCUCUUGGGGAAUGCUUGUUUUUAGUUAGCUUUGUGACAGUAUCAAAAAUACAUUUUGGAUUGUUUUUAUUCUCCUCAAUUAAGUUGGAAAAUAGGAUGAUCGAGCAGCAGUGACUACUGCACGGUACUGUCUUUCCAAGCUAAUCAGAAGACUUCCAGUUUGAUGUAGUGCCAUUUCCAUUUCCAAUUAUCUGGAAGCUUGCUUCAGGGCUCGGGUAUUUUCUGUAUAUCAGGGAGCUAGUUUCUUAUGACAAAUGUUUUUUGUUUUUAGGGGUGUGACUGCAUCUAGGGUAUUACGCAAG
ensembl:lncRNA